AGUCGAGCGAGAAAGUCCUUCGGGAUGAGUAUAGCGGCGGACGGGUGAGUAAUACGUGAGAAUCUGCCUUUUAGUGGAGAAUACCUUCGAGAAAUCGAAGUUAAUACUGCAUAAGUCCUACGGGAGAAAGAUGGCCUCUUUGCUGUCGCUAAAAGAUGAGCUCGCGCACUAUCAGCUAGUUGGUGGGGUAAAGGCCUACCAAGGCUAUGACGGUUAGCCGGCCUGAGAGGGUGUACGGCCACACUGGAACUUAGACACGGUCCAGACUCCUACGGGAGGCAGCAGUGGGGAAUAUUGCGCAAUGGGCGAAAGCCUGACGCAGCGACGCCGCGUGGAGGAUGAAGGUCUUCGGAUUGUAAACUUCUGUUAAGUGGGAAGAAAGAUUUACGUUUAAUAGACGUAGGGAAUGACGGUACCAUUAGAGAAAGCACCGGCUAACUUCGUGCCAGCAGCCGCGGUAAUACGAAGGGUGCAAGCGUUAUUCGGAAUCAUUGGGCGUAAAGGGUGCGUAGACGGUAUAUUGAGUCUGUUGUUAAAUCUUCCGGCCUAACCGGAAAUCUGCAGUAGAUACUGAUGUGCUAGAGGAUGGAAGAGAGAAGUGGAAUUCGCGGAGUAGUGGUAAAAUGCGUAGAUCUCGAGGGGAACACCAAUGGCGAAGGCAGCUUCUUGGUCCAUAUCUGACGUUGAGGCACGAAAGCGUG
rnacentral:rRNA from 1 species